rnacentral:rRNA from 1 species
GGACGAACGCUGGCGGCGUGCUUAACACAUGCAAGUCGAGCGGUAAGGCCCUUUCGGGGGUACACGAGCGGCGAACGGGUGAGUAACACGUGGGUGACCUGCCCUCAGCUCUGGGAUAAGCCCGGGAAACUGGGUCUAAUACCGGAUAUGACUCCAUGACGCAUGUUGUGGGGUGGAAAGCCUUGUGCGGCUGAGGAUGGGCCCGNGGCCUAUCAGCUUGUUGGUGGGGUNAUGGCCACCAAGGCGACGACGGUAGCCGGCCUGAGAGGGCGACCGGCCACACUGGGACUGAGAUACGGCCCAGACUCCUACGGGAGGCAGCAGUGGGGAAUAUUGCGCAAUGGCCUAACGGCUGACGCAGCGACGCCGCGUGGGGAUGACGCUUUU